rnacentral:rRNA from 1 species
UGAAGUAAGUAAGGGCGUACGGUGAAUGCCUUGGUGCCAACAGGCGAAGAAGGACGCGGCAAGCUGCGAAAAGCCUCGGGAAGCUGCAAGCAAGCGAUGAUCCGGGGAUAUCCGAAUGGGGUAACCUGAUCGAGGCAAUACUCGAUCGUUCAUACCUGAAUACAUAGGGUAUGAAACGCGAAACCCGCUGAAGUGAAACAUCUCAGUAAGCGGAGGAAAAGAAAGAGAAAUCGAUUCCGUAAGUAGUGGCGAGCGAAAGCGGAUGGAGCCCAAACCGAAGGUAUUCCUUCGGGGUUGUAGGACCACGUCAUAUUCGACCAUACUGGAUAGUAGAACAGCCUGGAAAGGCUGGCCGGAGAAGGUGAAAGCCCUGUAGACGAAAUCCAGAGUGGGAAUUAGUGGUAUCCUGAGUAAUACAUCACACGUGGAACGAUGUAUGAACCCGCGCGGACCACCGCGCAAGGCUAAAUACUAGUUGGCGACCGAUAGUGAACAAGUACCGCGAGGGAAAGGUGAAAAGAACCGCUGUGAGCGGAGUGAAAUAGAACCUGAAACCGUAUGUCUACAAAGUGUCAGAGCAGAGCAAUCUGCGAUGGCGUGCCUUUUGUUUAAUGAGUCUGCGAGUCAGUGUUUGUGGCAAGACUAAGGGCUUCCGGCCCGGAGUCGCAGCGAAAGCAAGUCCGAACAGGGCGCAAUAAGUCGCAGGUACUGGACCCGAAGCGGAGGUGACCUACCCUUGGCCAGGUUGAAGCAUGGGUAAAACCAUGUGGAGGACCGAACAGGUGAACGUUGAAAAGUUCUCUGAUGAGCUGAGGGUAGGAGUGAAAGGCUAAUCAAACCCCGUGAUAGCUGGUUCUCUUCGAAAUGCAUUUAGGUGCAGCGUCACGUGCUGAUGCGCGGGGGUAGAGCACUGACAAGGCUAGGGGGCACACCCGCUUACCAAACCUUAUCAAACUCCGAAUACCGUGCAAUGGAACGUGGCAGUGAGACAGUGGGGGAUAAGCUUCAUUGUCGAGAGGGAAACAACCCAGACCAGCAGCUAAGGUGCCUAAAUAACGCUCAGUGGAAAGGAUGUGGGAUUACACAGACAGUGAGGAUGUUGGCUUAGAAGCAGCCACCAUUUAAAAAAUGCGUAAUAGCUUACUCAUCGAGUGAUCCUGCGCCGAAAAUGAUUGGCGAUCAAGCGUUAUACCGAAGCUCUGGACUUUGCCGCAAGGCAGAGUGGUAGAAGAGCGUUGCAUGCGCGUCGAAGGGCGAUGGCGACUGACCCUGGAGCACAUGCAAGUGAGUAUGCAGACAUGAGUAACGUUAAGCCGGGUGAAAUCCCCGGCCGCCGUAAACCCGAGGUUUCCAGGGCAACGUGUUUCGUCCCUGGGUUAGCCGGGACCUAAGCCGAGGCCGAGAGGCGUAGGCGAUGGACAUCAGGUUAAUAAUCCUGAGCUCGCAACCCUUAAACUGGGGGGACGCAUGAGAAAAGAUGACUAGGUUAUUGAAUUCCGAGUUGAGUCUACGGACUCAGCGCAUCAUUGGAUCGAGUGCCAAGAAAAGCCCCAGCGUAUGCUAAGCGACCCGUACCGCAAACCGACACAGGUGGGUGGGUAGAAUAUACCAAGGCGUAAGAGUGAAACCUGGUUAAGGAACUCGGCAAAUUAGCCCCGUAACUUCGGAAGAAGGGGUGCCUGCAGCGAUGCAGGCCGCAGAGAAAUGGCCCAACCGACUGUUUAUCAAAAACACAGCACUCUGCAAAGACGCAAGUCGAAGUAUAGGGUGUGACACGUGACCAAUGCCGAAAGAUUAAGGCAAGGGGUUAGCCGCAAGGCGAAGCUCUAAACCCAAGUCCCGGUGAAUGUCGGCCGUAACUAUAACGGUCCUAAGGUAGCGAAAUUCCUUGUCGGGUAAGUUCCGACCUGCACGAAUCGUGAAACGAGUUGGGCACUGUCUCAACCAGGCGCUCAGUGAAAUUGUAGUGGCGGUGAAGAUGCCGCCUACCCGCAGAAGGACGGAAAGACCCUAUAGACCUUAACUGUAAGCUGUCAUUGUUUCUUCGGUUUUAAUGCUCAGAGUAAGUGGGAGACGCUGAAGACGCCCUUUAGGGGGCGUCCGAGUCAUCAAUGAGACACCACCCUUUGAAACUGGAGGAUCUAACCCUGAGCCGUGAAUCCGGCCAGAGGACCGUGUCAGCCGGUCAGUUUUACUGGGGCGGUAUCCUCCCAAAGAGUAACGGAGGAGCGCGAAGGUGGGCUCAGCCCGGUUGGCAACCGGGUGUCGAGUGCAUGGGCAUAAGCCCGCCUAACUGUGAGACCAACAAGUCGAGCAGAUGCGAAAGCAGGCCCAAGUGAUCCGGCGGUAGAAAGUGGAAUUGCCGUCGCUCAACGGAUAAAAGGUACCUUAGGGAUAACAGGCUGAUCACGCCCAAGAGUUCAUAUCGACGGCGUGGUUUGGCACCUCGAU